rnacentral:rRNA from 1 species
AGUGAACGCUGGCGGCGUGCCUAACACAUGCAAGUCGAACGAUGAUUGCGGAGCUUGCUCUGCAUGAUUAGUGGCGCACGGGUGAGUAACGCAUAGGUAAUGUGCCCCUUAGUCUGGGAUAGCCACUGGAAACGGUGAUUAAUACUAGAUACUCCUUCUUGUCUCAAGGCAAGUCGGGAAAGUUUUUCGCUAAGGGAUCAGCCUAUGUCCUAUCAGCUUGUUGGUGAGGUAACGGCUCACCAAGGCUAUGACGGGUAUCUGGUUUGAGAGGAUGAUCAGACACACUGGAACUGAGACACGGUCCAGACUCCUACGGGAGGCAGCAGUGAGGAAUAUUGCACAAUGGAGGAAACUCUGAUGCAGCAACGCCGCGUGGAGGAUGACGCAUUUCGGUGUGUAAACUCCUUUUAUUAGGGAAGAUUAUGACGGUACCUAAUGAAUAAGCACCGGCUAACUCCGUGCCAGCAGCCGCCGUAAGAC